AACGAACGCUGGCGGCAGGCUUAACACAUGCAAGUCGAACGCGAAAUCACCUUCGGGUGGUGGAGGGUGGCAGACGGGUGAGUAACGCGUGGGAACCUACCUAGUGGUACGGAAUAACUCAGGGAAACUUGGGCUAAUACCGUAUGUGCCCGAAAGGGGAAAGAUUCAUCGCCAAUAGAUGGGCCCGCGUCGGAUUAGCUUGUUGGUGAGGUAAGGGCUCACCAAGGCGAAGAUCCGUAGCUGGUCUGAGAGGAUGAUCAGCCACACUGGGACUGGGACACGGCCCAGACUCCUACGGGAGGCAGCAGUGGGGAAUAUUGGACAAUGGGCGCGAGCCUGAUCCAGCCAUGCCGCGUGAGUGAUGAAGGCCCUAGGGUUGUAAAGCUCUUUCGGCGGGGACGAUAAUGACGGUACCCGCAGAAGAAGCCCCGGCUAACUUCGUGCCAGCAGCCGCCGCCG
rnacentral:rRNA from 1 species